rfam:Heterocephalus glaber contig109227, whole genome shotgun sequence.
GGAUGUGAGGGCAGGUGAUCUGGCUGCGACCUCUGUCACCACACUGAUCGCCAGGGUUGAUUGGGCUGAGCUGGCUGGCCGGGUGGGGGUCCCCUUCCUCCCUCACCGCGCCAUGUGCGUCCCUCCCGAAGCUGCGCUCUCAGUCGAAGAGGACAACCACCCCGAUAGAGGAGGACCGUUUCCUCGGUCAAGGGUAUACAAGUAGCUGCGCUACCCUGCUAGAACCUCCAAACAAGCUCUUAAGAAUCAAGACGCUGGCAAGUUGUACAGACGGGAACU